CAUUUGCAGAUACAUGGAAGGACCCAGAUACUGAUACUGAGUGAAAGCCUGAAUACAUAAGAAGGAGGAGAGCAUGGGUCAGACCCUGAGAAAAACCAACAAUUUGAGGAGCAGAAGAAGAAUCUUCAAAAGGAGAAGAGAAGGAGAAAUGGGAGGAAAACUAGGAAUGCUUCCUGAAGCAUCCCUGAAGUGAAGGAAGUGAGUGCUUAGAAGCACUGAAUGUCAUCAGAUCCCAAAUCAACUGAUUUUUGUUUCGAUGGGUGAUGAAAAAGGAAACAACUUUUUGGAAACUCAGUAUCUUAAAACUGGGAGCUG
ensembl:lncRNA